GCUAAAGCAGCCUUUAAGGUCUGCGCACGCGCACACACACACACACAACCAAAAAAACCCACCACCUCGUCACAACUGUAUAGAGUUGGUCACUUCUGUUUCACAGGAAGAGUGAAAGAAGACACCUUGUGCAAGGCUUCACAGCAUCCAAGCCAAACUGCCUAUCUACUGGACAUCUGCCUUCUUAUAGACAGUAGUGAAUGAUUUUGAAUAUCGUAAAACAUGCUGCAUUAUUCCUUCAGGUAUUAAAACAGCAUUGGGUUCUAGAAAUAGUUUAGAUCCUAGAAAGUGGCCCUUGAUUUCUUAGCUUUCUGACAUGAAGCAUGAAUUCAUAUUAUUCAAAAGCCACCUUCGUUAUGAAAUCCUUUAGGAAUAAAGUUUGUCCUAUAAGUACAAGUAGCUAUGACCGACGGCUGGUGCAAAUAAAGCUUCAUUCAUUCAGCUUGUAGGUGCAAGUGAUCCAAGUGUCUAAAUGGCACUUUGUGGGUUGUAAUUGUAUUUAGAAUAGUUCUGCUGCAGAAGUCUAAAUUGUACUUCCUUUAGACUUUUGAUUCUUUCCCAUUAUUAGAAUAAUAUCUUAUUCUGCCAGGUAUUAUUAGUACCACCAGCUCCGAGGUUCCUAUUAGAAAUACAGUGUGAGGUUCUAGUUUUCUGAUGCACUUCGUAAUAUCUUUAAAGGGAUCUUUCCGAUCUCUUUUAUGAAAAGAUGCUUGAACUCCCCCUGCAGAAAAAAGUGCACAGGUUCUUUCAAAUGGUAAGAAAUGUAGCCAAAAGCAAGGAACCCUGUUCCUACAAAGACUAAGAAGGGCUCAUCUAGGCUUCCUUUUGUUUCGUGUUUCUAGGCACAGAUUCAGGCUUUAAAGCUCUCUGUCCAAGCAGACUUUUUUUUUGUCCCCACCCUUUCCCUGGGAAAACCUGUGUUUUACCGGUGAAUUGGAGCAAACAGGUUUUCUGCAGAUUGCUGUUCACUUUAUUCAGUGGAAAAAACAGGUGUUCCUGGGCAAAAUGCCAAAAUCAAAACUCAGAUAUGGCGCAUGAACCUGUGCCUGGAAAGCACAGCACAGAAUGAAGUCUGGAUGGGCCCUUAAUGUUGAAUCUACACUUACUGAAGAUUUCAGAAGGGGUAGGUUACUUUUGUACUCUCCCAGUGUGUUGAGUGCAUGAAAUUGGCACCAAACAGUAACACACUUCCUGCGCUACCAUUUCAGAGUGCAGAUAAUGAGCUGUGUGUUUCAGUACUUCCUCAUGAAGGAGACUCCAUCUCUUUGGUUUAAAAGGCCAGGCUGAAUCCUUCGCUGUAAUGUACUUGUUUUGCAUGCAUAAAGGGUUGUUUUUAAUUGAGCAUUCAAAGAUGCAGCCCUCCCAACUGGUAGCCUGAAAUUGCACGGCUUACAAAAGGCGUGCUUUCAAUUUCUGCAGAAUGUAAGCUAGCCUUCCAGAUACAUUCCACAAUUCGUUUGCUUGUCUCUGUAUGUUGUUGGCUCAUGCCCAAGUGCAGAGUACUUGUCUUAGAGCAGAAAGGGAAGAACGUGAUAACUGCCUAAAACAGCUUUUCGUCUAGACAAUGUGGAAAAGCAACUUGCUGCGAUACCAAGCAGCUGCCAGUCAGCUAUGUUUUUUCCGUUCGAGGACUUUACCCUUCAUAGGAAAAUGAGAGCGAUGUUAUGGCCAGACUUUGAAAGGCUUCUUCUAGUUCCCUAGCUGCUUUUGCUGUUACAGAAAAGCCACAACUUAAACUGCCUUUGAUAGCCUAUGGCUAUCUGAACAGCCCAUGUACAGAGAGGAAAAUGGAAAGGUAUCUUGAGUACCUAUGAAGUAGUAUGACUUGAUGUAGAGAUGGAAAUAUGCUGAAAGAAGAGAUGCGUGGAGACAUUGCUUUAAAGUGUGCUUAGUGUUUCAGCUCCACCAACAAGAUUUGUGGCGUAACAAAGUUAUUGUGGCAUGAGCCUUUUUCAUCAGAUGCAGGAGCUAUGGAGAUGAUGGAUGCAAGCAGGGACUAAAGGACUGGUCCUUUUUCUUUCCCCUGCAAUGAUUGCUCAAGUUCUUUCUCACCCAUCCACAGUGACAUGGCGAGCCCUCUUUGCUGUUGACACUUGUUUUUGUCCCACGCAGCAUCUUUUGCCAUUGUGUUCAGGAUUGAAAUGUGCGGGGAGAUAAACAUUUGGGCCAUUGGGGUGGGGUGAGAGGCGCAUCCGUCCUGCAUGAAACAGAUAAACAUUCCAGAAGGGUGUAAAAGAUCAUGGGUUGUAUCCAAGUAAGUCGUAAGUACGUUUAUUGAAAUUAAUGAGCUUAAGGGCAUUUGUUUCAAUGGAUCCUACUCCUGAGUGUGACUUGAUUAGAUAAAACCCUACGUAAUAUUCUAAUAAAUGUUAAUAAAAGUUAUUUAGAUGGUAGAUUUAAAAAAUGUCAGGUUCAGAGGCUUAGUGAGAGCAGCAUGGCAGGCAAAUUGAUAGCAAUUUUUCAUUGGCUCUGUGUCUAGUGGCAUUCAGGCACUGAAUCUGGUUAACUGAGCACGAGACUUAACCCCAGCCAGUUGAUGCAGAUUGGACAACAGUUAUGGGGAGAGAAGUUCCCCAGCAGCUUCUUAGAAGCACAGUUUCAUCUGAGUAGUGGGAAUGAUGUGUUAUCAGUAAUACAUUAAAUUUAGAACACGCUGCAUCUGUCAGAAAUCAUUAUUUUAGUGUGGCCGCCCCUACACUUUGGAACUCCCUACCUAUUGACUUCAGGCAGGUGCCUUCACUGUAGUAUUUUCAGUGCCUGCUUCAAAACAUUUUUGUUUAGGCAAGAUAUGCAGAACACUGACAUGUGUUUUGAUCUGGUUUUUAGUUUAUUGCUUUAUUUUUGUAAACCGCUUUGCUGUUUGGUUUAGUUUUACAAUCAAAUAGUAUGUAAAUGUUGUGAAAUAAAUAAACAUACAAACAUUUUCGGUGUCUGAUUUACCUCUUCACUCUUUCUAGGGAAGUCCCAAGGGUUACGGAUACUUUAACUUUCCUUGCAUAUGUAAAUUGCUUAAAGAUUCUACUUACAAUCGAGUUGAAUUUAAAUUUUGUUUAAAUGAAAAAAAGAGAGACUGAAAUCUGUGUCUUCCCAUCUUUUGAUACUCGUUUUGUGCAUGUCCCUAACACAUGGAGAACGAUAUAUUUGUUUGCUAUUGUGGCUACUAAAGAACAUAUUGUAAAUGUUUUAAAAUGUCAGCAACGUACAGAACACACAGUGCAUUGUUAUGCAUGUUACUCAGAAGUAAGUCCCAAAGCUUUCAAUGGAGCUCUUACUCCCAUCCAGGUGCCUUCCAGUUGUUUUGGACUACAACUCCUAUCAUCUGGCUGGCCAGCCACACCUCUUUCAAGAAACUCCAUUCCUUCCCUUCUGUUUUGUCUCUACCCCACCCUUCCUGCACCCCACUAUUUCAGCAAGGUCAGUCUUAUUUGAGUUGUCUUUGACUUGGGUGAGUGUGUUACAUUUCCUGAAUCAUUUUUUGCAUUCCUGCGCAUAUUGUGGUCCCUCUAAGCUUGUUGCUACCUCCCUCUUGUUCAUAGAUGGUGUUAUUCUGGCUACAUAAGAACAGGCAUUUUUUUAAAAAAAUCACUUUUAGUACAUAGGAGUCAACAUAGUUUAAUUGUUUGUUAGGAAGCAGGUCAAGUGACUGUUUCCAAUGGGCUGUAACAAACAGUCAUACUCAAGAGUAGACCUUUUGAAAAAAGCAGGACUAUAUUUUUAGUUUCUUUUCAUUUUUAAUAUUUUACUUCCUUAUGCUUAGAGGACAGUUUUGCCAUGAACUUUCCUUCUAUUUAUGCAGCUGGUUUUUAUGCGGAAAGUUUAUUUUGAUACUUAAGAGGAUGCUCUCUUUAGUUGUUAACUGUGCUUUACAGAAUGUAUUGAUUCUCUCAUAUUUGUUGCUUAUUAAGGAUGUUUUAAUCUAUGGAUGGAGCCAAUGCUAGUCCUACUCAUAGUUGACCCAUUGAAGUGAAUGGGCAUGGAUCACUUAAUUUCAGUGGGUGUACUCUUGAGUAGAACUUGACCGGCUACAACUUUCUCUUGUAACCUAUGUACUACACCUAAUGCUGGAGGCAAUGUGCCCCCAGUCACCAUUCCUGCAAAUCACAGGUGGGAAUGUCCCAGAUCCUACCAGUGGAGUAUCGGGGGGGGGCACAGGGGUGGUUGCCCCAGGCGCAAAAUUGUUAGGGGUGCAAAAUUUCAACACCCUGUACUGCCCGAAUACAGCUGUUCACUUCUAUUGUUGGGCUGUGUUCGCUUCUCCAUGUGAACCAGGAAGUGGCCUAUCCCAAAAACAGAAUGACAUGAAUGUACAUUUGUACUCUGCCCGUUUCCCUCCUGUUCUCUUUGUGUGGCGCCGGGCAUUGGCAAUCCAUGCUAUGCCACUGGAUCCUGCUUUUGGUCUUCCCAUAGGCACCACUGUGAGAUGGGCCUGAUCCAGCAAGCUCUUCUUAGGUCCUUAAACCACACAGAGGGAGGAAUUCAGCAUAGGGCCAAGAAGAUUGCUCUGUCAGUGUAAGCAUUUCUGCUUGCCUGAUUCAGCCGUCUGCCCUCUCCUCCCCCUGCAUGCUGUUCUGGGGUGGGAGUGGGGAGCUCUGUUGUGCUAGUGAUGGUAUUUGUACAAGUUUCUACUAGUGGGGCUUGUUACAGUUGAAUCCCACCCCCUCCAUUUUGUUUAAAUGGUACAUAAAUGGUCCAAAUAACUAAACAAAACUAACUUGGGUCCAUUAAUUUCAAUGGCUGUACUCGUGAGUAGAACUAAGUAAGCACAGAUUAGUAUUAAACAAAAGUCUAUACAGACUAGGUUUAUAUUUAAAAAUAAAUAGAUAAAUCCACAGCCGACCGCUUUCCUCACCCACCCCUAGUUUUUAGAAGGGAAGUACAUAGCUUUCAUCCCAGAGUUGAAUUCCAGUACCUCUUUCUUUGAUAACAAACCCGCAGAGUAGGCAAGGGGAUGGAGUCUGUUUUGUAGUAUUUUGAAGCCAUGAAGUGUCUUAUAAAUGAGUGGAUGACAACCUUCACUGCUGGUGUUGGCAUCGAAGCUCACAGGAGCACAAGACCCAGCUUCCCACCCUGAACACUUAACAAAAUAGCUGGUUUUAUUGCCUUACCCUGUACUUCUAACUCUGGAGGGACUGGCAGCAUGGUGUGUGGUCUCAGGAAAAGCCACAGAGGCCUGUUCUCCUGUUUCUUGGUUAGCCUAACUGAUGCCAUUUUGCAUCUGUAAAAAACUACCUGCUUUAGAAUUUAGGAGGGUGAGCCACAAAUAAGUGAAGACCAGAUAACGUUGCUAGGCGAUUUUCAGGAAAUCCUCCCACUGCCAGGCUACUCUCCCCUUCAAGGUCUCCAGGCAGAGUGUCCUGUUUCAGUCAGCGGGAGCAGCUGAAUAAACGAGUGAUUGUGGGAAUCUCCUCUGUCUAUGGCAUUUAUUGGCUUUUCAGUGACCAAGGCAGCUUGGACCCGAUUAGCGGACCCCAACAAUGGCUGGAAUGGUUGGAGCAGGUGGUGGUGCUACAGGAAGUGGCUGGCCACACCUAUGAGUGAAGGGGGCGGGGCAAUGUAUUUCUGAGAGCUGCUCCCACAUUAGGGAGGACCAGCCCUGAAGGUGAAUGUUUGCUGGCGGCCUUGCGUCACAUUUAAACUGCAUGAUUGACCAUGAAUGCUAGUGGCCCAGGAUAUCCGCUAGCCUCCCUCUAUGUGGGCGACUUGCACCCGGAUGUAACGGAAGCAAUGUUGUACGAGAAAUUCUCGCCUGCUGGACCGAUUCUGUCCAUCAGAGUUUGCCGAGAUGUCUCCACACGCCGAUCACUAGGUUAUGCCUACAUAAAUUUUCAACAGCCUGCUGAUGCUGAGCGGGCCUUGGAUACCAUGAAUUUUGAAGUGAUAAAAGGCCGACCCAUUCGCAUCAUGUGGUCACAACGGGACCCAGGACUCAGGAAAUCAGGCGUUGGGAACAUCUUCAUCAAGAACCUGGACGAUUCCAUUGAUAACAAAGCUUUGUAUGAUACAUUCUCAGCCUUUGGAAAUAUCCUUUCUUGCAAGGUUGUUUGUGAUGAGAAUGGAUCCCGAGGUUACGGCUUUGUCCAUUUUGAGACCCAUGAGGCAGCAAACAGAGCAAUUGACACGAUGAAUGGAAUGCUCCUCAAUGACCGUAAGGUGUUCGUAGGCCAUUUUAAAUCUCGACGAGAGCGGGAAGCAGAAUAUGGCGCCAAGGCAAUGGAAUUCACCAAUGUCUACAUCAAGAACUUUGGGGAUGACAUGCAUGAUGAGCGACUACAGGAAAUAUUCUCAAAAUUUGGAAAGACGUUGAGUGUCAAGGUGAUGAUGGAUAAUGCAGGCCAUUCGAAAGGGUUUGGGUUUGUCAACUUUGAGAAGCAUGAAGAUGCUCAGAAGGCUGUUGAAGACAUGAACGGGACGGAGAUCAAUGGGCGAAUGGUGUAUGUUGGCCGAGCUCAGAAGAGGAUGGAACGUCAGAGUGAACUGAAGCGCAAAUUUGAGCAGAUCAAGCAGGAGAGAGUAAACAGAUACCAGGGUGUGAACUUGUAUGUAAAGAAUCUGGAUGAUGGGAUUGAUGAUGAACGGCUGAGGAACGAAUUUUCUCCUUAUGGAACUAUCACUAGUGCCAAGGUGAUGACAGAGGGUGGACACAGCAAAGGUUUUGGGUUUGUAUGUUUUUCAUCCCCAGAAGAGGCCACAAAGGCUGUGACUGAAAUGAACGGGAGGAUUGUCAGUGCCAAGCCUUUGUAUGUCGCCCUUGCUCAAAGGAAAGAGGAGAGGAAAGCUAUUCUCACCAACCAAUACAUGCAGAGACUAGCUACCAUGAGGGCCUUGCCUGGUCCAAUCCUCUGCUCCUUCCCUCCAACAGGUUAUUUCCUGCCCUCCCUUCCACAGCCUCAAACCAGAACUACUUUCUACAGUCCUAGCCCUGUUGCCCAAGUCCGCCCUGUCUCCCGUUGGAAUAUGCAGCCCUCCAGGCCUCCCUCAUCCUAUCACCCAGCCAGCCCGGUCCUGAGGACUAGUGCACCUCCCAGGCGCCCGCUGUCCAACAUCAGCACCAUGAGACAAGCGUCCACUCAAGCUCCCAGGGUAUCUCCCAAUGCCCAGAGAGUGGCCAACAUAGGAACCCAGACUAUCAGCACUCGGGCAUCCUCUUCAACAGCCCUACCACGCGGCGUUUCCCAGUACAAGUACUCUUCAGCUGUGAGGAAUGCUCAGCCACUGGGCACCAUGGCACCUCUGCCAAUGCACCAGGUUGUAGAACCGGCUGUCCGUGUCCACGGACAGGAGCCCCUGACAGCAUCCAUGUUGGCUGCAGCCCCUCCUCAGGAGCAGAAGCAAAUGCUUGGUGAACGCCUCUACCCUCUGAUUCACUCAUUACACCCCUCCAUGGCUGGGAAGAUCACAGGUAUGCUGCUGGAGAUAGAUAACUCUGAGUUGCUGCUGAUGCUGGAGUCUCCUGAAUCCCUCCACUCUAAGGUACUGGAAUUUCAUGCUAUAAAAUAAAAACCGCUAACUGCGCCAUUGCAAAUCCCCAAAUUUUGCAACUAAAAUAUAUUGUGCUGGUUUGAGUUUUGUUUAUCUGUAAAGUUUAUGAUAUGCAUACCUUCAGAAUACGAAGGGUUUCUCUUUUACAGAGCUUGGAGUGGGGCUGUUCCCCCACCCCCAGAAGUAGGUGAUGGAGCAGGAGACUAUUGGGGAACUGAAAUGAUCCCUAAGGGCUGGGAGAUUUUGAAACCCUGGUGGGAUUACUGAUAGUAAAAAGACUCCAUCUCUGACUACAAGCCUUCACACUGUUGCUUUUUCCCAUUUUGCCAUCCCCAGCUGAGUCCAUUUCUCACCUGGUUUGUACAUGUGUGCGUGUUCUAAUUAUUCCUGGUGCAUUUGUGCCUUGAGCAAAUGCGGUGUAUGCUUGUGGAUGUAUCCCACACGGAGCACAUUUCCUCGCUGAGAUUAAAAACUACUUUUUUACUUAUAAAGUGGCAAUUCACUGUAAUGGUAUGUCCUGACUAGUUAGAGGAGAAAACAGAAAAGAUCACAUGACACAUCCUUAAUGUCUCUUUUGACAUAAUGCGGUGUGUGUGUGUGUGCGCGCACGCUUGUGCGCGUAUAUGCAGCGGUUUCUCCUAGUUUGGGCUGGUUUGCAAAGACUGCAUGUGCAGCCCUUUGAAUGACCACCAUGUUAUGAGCCAUUCCAUUCUCAAUGCUAAAGGAGCUAUUUUUAACCAGUUAGUGUUUCAGCUGCAUAGGCUUUCGAUGCAUGAAUAAUAACUUAAGGAGAUCCUUCCUGGAUCAGGCAAAUGGUCCAUCUAGUCCAAAAUACUGUUUUCCCAUAGUGAUGGCCGCCCAGAAGCCCCCCAGCCAGGGGCAUGCUGUUCUUCAGCAGCUGAUACUUAUACGGUCUCUGAAAUGUGGAGGCUAAAAUGAAUGUAGCCUUCCUACUAGUAAAUCCAGUGGCAGAUGGGGCUUGUCAACCUGGGAAGGUAGUCCAUCUGGGAGAAGCAAAACACUUUAUCCUUAACCUUCAUUGCCAUGUGGGGUAUCUUCAGGAGAAGAAAAGUCUAAGGAACAGAUCUGGAGUGGGGUCCCUAAGACUGUUGGAUGGUGCCUUCUCUGCAUUACUUUGGACCACAUCAGUGAGGCCUUGUCGUUUGGGCAGCCCAGGACCUCCAUACGCACCACCCAAGUUUAGCGCCCCUGGGAGGUCACUUCUGUGCUGCUAACGCAGCAGUGUGACUUUACCCCAAAGGCACACUCCAUUGGCUCUUGAGACAGACCUGAUGCCAACAUCUGCUAGUAAGUCCUCCAUGCAUGUGUCUAAUGCCCUUUUGAUAAGAACGUUAUGUGUUACAACAAACUUUUGUUAGAUUGAGGAAGCUGUUGCUGUACUGCAAGUACACCAGAUCUCUGAAGCAUCCCACAAGAGCAACUCGGCAGCAUUUCUUCAGUG